AACGAACGCUGGCGGCAGGCUUAACACAUGCAAGUCGAACGCAUCCUUCGGGGUGAGUGGCAGACGGGUGAGUAACGCGUGGGAACGUGCCCUUCAGUUCGGGAUAACCCAGGGAAACUUGGGCUAAUACCGGAUACGUGCGAGAGCAGAAAGAUUUAUCGCUGAAGGAUCGGCCCGCGUCUGAUUAGCUAGUUGGUGGGGUAAUGGCCCACCAAGGCGACGAUCAGUAGCGGGUCUGAGAGGAUGAUCGGCCACAUUGGGACUGAGACACGGCCCAAACUCCUACGGGAGGCAGCAGUGGGGAAUAUUGGACAAUGGGCGCAAGCCUGAUCCAGCCAUGCCGCGUGAGUGAUGAAGGCCUUAGGGUUGUAAAGCUCUUUCGUCCGGGACGAUAAUGACGGUACCGGAAGAAGAAGCCCCGGCUAACUUCGUGCCAGCAGCCGCAGUAA
rnacentral:rRNA from 1 species